rnacentral:lncRNA from 1 species
ACGAGACCUACAGUGAUUAUUAUUGAAAGAUCUUCAUUGAAGGCAUUACUAGAAGUUGCACAUUAAAGAGCAAAUCCAACUUCCAGCUGUUCCCAUAAGGAAAUACAUUGAAACCCUCAUGUUGAAAAUUUGUGGAGGUUUAGAUGAUAGAAAUGAAAGGCACCUUGUCCAUGCACCAGAGGAGCUCACAAUGCUUUACUGGAAACUGCAGAUGGAGGCAGAUUGUUGUGCAGUGCUGG